CCAAAAGCUUUGAAGAGAAAGAGUACCAAGCGGAUAUCUUCCGACAGAGAGCCCCGGGAGCUGAGAAGGGGAGAAGAAGAGUCUUGGGAACAUGGUCUCUGAGCUGCGCACCGAAGCCUUUUCAAGGGCCGUAGGCUGCGCCGGAACCCGCACCCGUUAACGUGCUAGGGUAUAAGCGAUAAUUUUCGCCGUACCUGAAGAGGUGACCGCCGCAAGGCGGAAAUGAAAUUGGGUGGUACCGCGUGAGCUUAAGCUCUCGUCCCUUUG
rnacentral:ncRNA from 1 species